rnacentral:lncRNA from 1 species
CUGUGUUUUUCUAAAGAUAAAAGAAUUUUGUAUUUUUUUCACCUUCCUCAACCCAUUUAAUUCUUGACCUAAUUUGGGCCCCUUUCGCCUUUGAUGAGUAUAUAUGGUCUAGUUCAUUUUCUAAUUGUUUAAUUUCAUUAAAAAGAAUAUUAUUUGUGUCUGUAGGUAAUGUAUCUAUCCUUUCGUUUAAAGUUUUAAUUUCGCUUUCCAAAACAUUGAUUUUAUUUUUUCUUUCUUUGGCUUUCGAUUUACAAUAUUUAAUUGUAGUGUCUCUGGUAUCAAUUUUGAACAAGUCCCACUGAGUAAGAAGAUUUUCAUUAUUAAAUUUAUUCUCAUACUUAUCAAUCAAUUUAUUUAUUAUUUCUUGAUAUUGAAAGUCGGCUAAUAUACUAUUAUUCAUUUUAAAGUAACCCUUUCCUCGAUUACUUGAAUAAAUAUCUAAUUUUAAAGAAAUAGCUUGGUGGUCUGUACUUGAAAUUUGAGCUGGUCUGAUGUCAGCUGAUACUGCCAGCAUGCGUACUUGUGAACUUAUUAUAAAAAAGUCAAUCCUACUUUCCUCAUUCAUUUUGUAGAUUUUUUCUUUUCCAAGUGUAUUGUUUUUUGGUUUUAUUUUAUAGCCUCCAAAUGUCUAUCAGUUUAUUUGUUUUAAUUACCUGUUUAAGAUUAUUUACUGGCUUUUUAAACUUUUUAUGAAGAUUUUUAUUUUUUGUAUCUAUACUAGAUAGAAGGUCAUUCAUAUCUCCUCCUACAAUU